rnacentral:rRNA from 1 species
CCUACGGGAGGCAGCAGUGGGGAAUAUUGCGCAAUGGGCGAAAGCCUGACGCAGCGACGCCGCGUGAGGGAUGAAGGUCUUCGGAUCGUAAACCUCUGUCAGCAGGGAAGAACGGUCACUGUGCUAAUCAGCCGUGAAUUGACGGUACCUGCAAAGGAAGCACCGGCUAACUCCGUGCCAGCAGCCGCGGUAAUACGGAGGGUGCGAGCGUUAAUCGGAAUUACUGGGCGUAAAGGGCUCGUAGGCGGUAGGUCAAGUCAAGGGGGAAAUCCCCGGGCUCAACGGGGGAAAUGCCUUUGAAACUGGAAAACAGGAGUGGGUGAGAGGAUAGUGGAAUUCCAGGUGUAGGAGGGAA